rnacentral:rRNA from 1 species
UGGACGCRAGUCUGACGGAGCAMCGCCGCGUGAGUGAAGAAGGUUUUCGGAUCGUAAAGCUCUGUUGCCAAGGAAGAACGCCUUGGGGAGUCACUGCCCUGAGGGUGACGGUACUUGAGAAGAAAGCCCCGGCUAACUACGUGCCAGCAGCCGCGGUAAUACGUAGGGGGCAAGCGUUGUCCGGAAUUAUUGGGCGUAAAGCGCGCGCAGGCGGCCGCUUAAGUUUGGUGUAUAAGCCCGGGGCUCAACCCCGGAUCGCACCGAAAACUGGGUGGCUUGAGUGCAGGAGAGGAAAGCGGAAUUCCACGUGUAGCGGUGAAAUGCGUAGAGAUGUGGAGGAACACCAGUGGCGAAGGCGGCUUUCUGGACUGUAACUGACGCUGAGGCGCGAAAGCGUGGGGAGCAAACAGGAUUAGAUACCCUGGUAGUCCACGCCGUAAACGAUGAGUGCUAGGUGUUAGGGGUUUCGAUACCCUUGGUGCCGAAKUCAACACAAUAAGCACUCCGCCUGGGGAGUACGCUCGCAAAGAG